GCUGCUAUUCAUGAGACUAUCAUGAAUUUCCCUGAAAAAUAUUCAACUGUUGUUGGGGAACGAGGGUUUAAGUUCAGUGGUGGUGAGAAACAACGUGUAGCUCUUGCUCGUGAAUUCCUAAAAGCUCCACCAUUUUGUUGUGUGAUGAAGCUACUAGUGCCCUUGACAGUACGACUAAAACAGAGAUACUAAAUGCAUUGAAGUCACU